UUUUGAAUGUCUCUAAUGUGGGAGAGCCCACCACCUCUCUAGGCAGAUUGUCCCACUGUUGUAUUGCUCUGACAGUGAGGAAGCUUUUCCUGAUGUCCAGUCUGAAUCUGGGUUGUUGCAAUUUGAACUGAUUACUCCGUGUCCUACAAUCUGGUGUUAAUGAGAAGAA